AGGUUGUAAAGUUAUUUUACAGUUACACUACUGGGGAAACUUUCCAAGUUACAACUGCGAAUUUCAUAAAACAUUACAACACUGUUCACAUACCACUACCCAAGGUUUCAAUCAGCAAAAAUACUAAACAACCACGGCUGAAACAGUUGUUGCAUUUCUCCUCCGGGUAGCUUGGGUCUGCCUGUAAAACAUCAAAAAAGUCAAAGUCCUUGAUAAAAGUUGGCCCAUCUCCAGAGCUUGGAUUAGAACCAACCAGUUUGACUACUGAAGAGUUUGAAAUAGUGUCAGAGUUUGGAUAUAAAACAUCUUUUCCGGAGCAUUCCAAUGGUUCUUUGGAUGCAAAUUUUGACGGUACUUUGGAGUGUCUAGAUGAGCAAUACGACAAUAGUUCAGAUGAAGAGUCUGUUUUGCAUUCAUCAAUAUCCCCAGAAAAAAGUAAUGCAGACUUCGAAGGUACAUAAAUUUUGUAAAAUUAGUCGAUGAAUAUUACAUAUAUAAUGAAUAACAGUGUUGUGUUAUUUGAUAGA